AGCCCCCGCCGGCGAAGACACAGCCGUUCCCGAAGCAGGAACCGCAGUCGUGGCCGUGACUACAGCCGCUCACGGUCUCGUUCCUACUCUAGAUCCUGUUCCAAGUCCCGCACACCCCGCAAGAGCAAGUCCCCAUCCCGAUCAAGGUCCCGCAGCCGCACCCCGGCUUCUAACAGAGGCUCACGGUCGAGGUCCAAGAGCAUGCCCAAAUCCCCCGAUGACAACGGAACCGAGUCUUAGUAACAACAGUUCCAAGCCAGACCCACUGCGGUGUCCUGUUGUCAAACCGAGAGGGUGUGGCAGAUGGCAGUGUAAGAGCAGUUAGUGUGUUGUGAUGCGACCUGCCUGAGGCUGUUGGUGGGGGG
ensembl:lncRNA